UGGGGAAUUUUGCACAAUGGGCGCAAGCCUGAUGCAGCGACGCCGCGUGAGGGAUGAAGGCCUUCGGGUUGUAAACCUUUUUCGCUCAUGGUCAAGCCGCAGCUUUGGGUUGUGGUGAGGGUAGUGGGUAAAGAAGCGCCGGCUAACUACGUUCCAGCAGCCGCGGUAAUACGUAGGGCGCGAGCGUUGUCCGGAAUUAUUGGGCGUAAAGGGCUUGUAGGCGGUUGGCCGCGUCUGCCGUGAAAUCCUCUGGCUUAACUGGGGGCGUGCGGUGGGUACGGGUUGACUUGAGUGCGGUAGGGGAGACUGGAAUUCCUGGUGUAGCGGUGGAAUGCGCAGAUAUCAGGAGGAACACCGGUGGCGAAGGCGGGUCUCUGGGCCGUUACUGACGCUGAGGAGCGAAAGCGUGGGGAGCGAACAGG
rnacentral:rRNA from 1 species